CGGCCUGAGAGGGUGNCCGGCCACACUGGGACUGAGAUACGGCCCAGACUCCUACGGGAGGCAGCAGUGGGGAAUAUUGCACAAUGGGCGCAAGCCUGAUGCAGCGACGCCGCGUGGGGGAUGACGGCCUUCGGGUUGUAAACCUCUUUCAAUAGGGACGAAGCGCAAGUGACGGUACCUAUAGAAGAAGCACCGGCCAACUACGUGCCAGCAGCCGCGGUAAUACGUAGGGUGCGAGCGUUGUCCGGAAUUACUGGGCGUAAAGAGCUCGUAGGUGGUUUGUCGCGUUGUCCGUGAAAUUUCACAACUCAAUUGUGAGCGUGCGGGCGAUACGGGCANACUGGAGUACUGCAGGGGAGACUGGAAUUCC
rnacentral:rRNA from 1 species